CAAACCUUUGGGCAGAAAUGGAGAAGUACUAGAACUGCAAUAGAAUAUUUACAGAUGGAUCCAAUAACGACAUAGCAACUGGUUACGGUUACGUCAUUCCAGAAGUCCCGAUAGAAGCAAUGGUCACACUCAAUAGUAAAGGUUCUAUAUUUUCAUGUGAACUUCGAGCUAUCCUAUAAUCUCUCCAGUUCAUAGCCAAUUCUCAAGACAACCAUGCCAACCAUGCCAUUAUUUCGGACUCCAAAAGUGCACUUCAAUGAGUCUCAAAUAAAUACAAAAUUCAAAAACCUAUCAGGCAGACAAUUCAAGUCAUUCUACAGCAAAUGAAUGGGAGGGUCCAGUUUAUGUGUUGUCCAAGCCAUUGCGGGAUCGAUGGGAACGAGUGGGCCGAUCAUGUUGAAAAAGAAUCACUGAACUCGCCUAAUGCAACCAGAGAUGAGAAGCUGAUCUCUUCGGAUCUUUGUCGGUUUAUCAGAACCCAGCUCCCAUCUUCCUGGAGAAACGAAUACCAUCAAAUAAGAACGAAGUUAUCUGUCAUAAAACCGUAUCCUGAAUCUUGGCCUACAUCCAUCCAAAAAACAAGAUCCAUGGAGACAAUACUCGCCAGGCUGCGUGUGGGCCACGCUAAAAAAACACACACCUACUUAAUUAAAAGAGAGCCACCACCUCAAUGUCCAUGUGGAGAGCAGGUCACAGUAGAACAUAUGUUAAUAUCCUGCCCAUGUUACGAAUCAAAAAUAUUUU
rnacentral:lncRNA from 1 species